rnacentral:rRNA from 1 species
UGGAAAUCAUUCAUAGAGUGUAAAGGCAUAAGGGAGCUUGACUGCGAGACCUACAAGUCGAGCAGGGUCGAAAGACGGACUUAGUGAUCCGGUGGUUCCGCAUGGAAGGGCCAUCGCUCAACGGAUAAAAGCUACCCCGGGGAUAACAGGCUUAUCUCCCCCAAGAGUUCACAUCGACGGGGAGGUUUGGCACCUCGAUGUCGGCUCAUCGCAUCCUGGGGCUGUAGUCGGUCCCAAGGGUUGGGCUGUUCGCCCAUUAAAGCGGUACGCGAGCUGGGUUCAGAACGUCGUGAGACAGUUCGGUCCCUAUCCGUCGUGGGCGUAGGAAAUUUGAGAGGAGCUGUCCUUAGUACGAGAGGACCGGGAUGGACAUACCUCUGGUGUACCAGUUGUCGUGCCAACGGCAUAGCUGGGUAGCUAUGUGUGGACGGGAUAAGUGCUGAAAGCAUCUAAGCAUGAAGCCCCCCUCAAGAUGAGAUUUCCCAACUUCGGUUAUAAGAUCCCUCAAAGAUGAUGAGGUUAAUAGGUUCGAGGUGGAAGCAUGGUGACAUGUGGAGCUGACGAAUACUAAUCGAUCGAAGACUUAAUCAAA